rnacentral:misc_RNA from 1 species
UCCGGUUUGUCACCGGCGGUCUCCUUAGAGUUCCCACCAUUACGUGCUGGCAACUAAGGACAAGGGUUGCGCUCGUUGCGGGACUUAACCCAACAUCUCACGACACGAGCUGACGACAACCAUGCACCACCUGUACACCGACCUUGCGGGGCGCCCAUCUCUGAGCGUUUCCGGUGUAUGUCAAGCCUUGGUAAGGUUCUUCGCGUUGCAUCGAAUUAAUCCGCAUGCUCCGCCGCUUGUGCGGGCCCCCGUCAAUUCCUUUGAGUUUUAGCCUUGCGGCCGUACUCCCCAGGCGGGGCGUUUAACGCGUUAGCUCCGGCACGGAAGGGGUCGAUUCCUCCCACACCAAGCGCGCACCGUUUACUGCCAGGACUA